UACGUAGGGUGCGAGCGUUGUCCGGAAUUAUUGGGCGUAAAGAGCUUGUAGGCGGUUUGUCGCGUCUGCUGUGAAAAUCCGGGGCUCAACCCCGGACUUGCAGUGGGUACAGGCAGACUAGAGUGUGGUAGGGGAGACUGGAAUUCCUGGUGUAGCGGUGAAAUGCGCAGAUAUCAGGAGGAACACCGGUGGCGAAGGCGGGUCUCUGGGCAGUAACUGACGCUGAGGAGCGAAAGCGUGGGGAGCAAACAGG
rnacentral:rRNA from 1 species